CCUACGGGUGGCAGCAGUGAGGAAUAUUGGUCAAUGGACGAGAGUCUGAACCAGCAAAGUAGCGUGCAGGAUGACGGCCCUAUGGGUUGUAAACUGCUUUUAUGCGGGGAUAAAGUGAGGGACGUGUCCUUCAUUGCAGGUACCGCAUGAAUAAGGACCGGCUAAUUCCGGGCCAGCAGCCGCGGUAAUACGGAAGGGCCGGGCGUUAUCCGGGUUUAUUGGGUUUAAAGGGAGCGUAGGCCGUGGAUUAAGCGUGUUGUGAAAUGUAGACGCUCAACGGCUGACUUGCAGCGCGAACUGGUCCACUUGAGUGUGCACAACGCAGGCGGAAUUCGUCGUGUAGCGGUGAAAUGCUUAGAUAUGACGAAGAACCCCGAUUGCGAAGGCAGCUUGCGGGAGCACGACUGACGCUGAAGCUCGAAAGUGCGUGUAUCGAACAGGAUUAGAUACCCGAGUAGUC
rnacentral:rRNA from 1 species